UGUUAUUAGAAAUAAUUAAUAAUACGUCUGCUCAAUGAACUUAAAUAGCCGCAUCAGUGCUAAGGUAGCAUAAUCAUUUGUCUUUUAAUUAAAGACUAGAACAAAAGAAUUUUCAUUUAAGUAAAUUUCUUAUUUUUAAAUCUUAAAAUUAUUUUUAAUGUAAAAAAACAUUAAUUUAUUAAAUAGACGAUAAGACCCUAUUGAACUUCACUUUAGUUUAACUGGGGUAGUUAAUUAAUUAUUAUUUUAAAUAAAAUAACAAAACAAAAGACCUAAUUUAAUUAAAUAAAUGAAUAAGUUACCAUAGGGAUAACAGUGUAAUUUUAUUUUAAAGAUCUUAUUUAAAAUAAAGAUUGCAACCUCGAUGUUGACUUAAUAUUCUCUUUUACGCAAAAGUAAGGUUAGAUAGUCUGUUCGACUUUUAAAAAAUUACAUGA
rnacentral:rRNA from 1 species